rnacentral:sRNA from 1 species
GAAGGAAACUGUUGUAUUUUAAAACCUCAUAUUUAAAAAAUGUUUAAGUUAUUAAAUAUAUUAAGAUGAUCGCUUUAAAGCCAGAAUCAAGAAAGACAGAACUUUGAUAAAAUGAUAAUAUUAUUUAAAAAUUAAGAAAGCACAGCCUGGGGUCACGAGCCUGCUUUUCUCCCCUGUCUGAAUAACAUCCAGUACAUAGAUUCUGCGGACUUGGAGCCCAUCACCUCGCAAGAAGAGCCUGUGCGCUACCACGAAGCUUGGCAGAAGCUCUGUAGUGCUCAUGGAGUGCUGGUUCCAGGAGGAUUUGGUGUUCGAGGAACAGAAGGAAAAAUCCAAGCAAUUGCCUGGGCUCGGAAUCAGAAAAAGCCUUUUUUGGGCGUGUGCUUAGGGAUGCAGUUGGCAGUGGUUGAAUUCUCAAGAAACGUGCUGGGAUGGCGAG